rnacentral:rRNA from 1 species
GGAAUAUUGGGCAAUGGAGGAAACUCUGACCCAGCGACGCCGCGUGCGGGAUGAAGGCCUUCGGGUUGUAAACCGCUUUCAGUAGGGAAGAAGCGAAAGUGACGGUACCUACAAAAGAAGCACCGGCUAACUAUGUGCCAGCAGCCGCGGUAAUACAUAGGGUGCAAGCGUUGUCCGGAAUUAUUGGGCGUAAAGAGCUCGUAGGUCGUUUGUUACGUCGGAUGUGAAAACCUGAGGCUCAACCUCAGGCCUGCAUUCGAUACGGGCAAACUAGAGUUUGGUAGGGGAGACUGGAAUUCCUGGUGUAGCGGUGGAAUGCGCAGAUAUCAGGAGGAACACCAAUGGCGAAGGCAGGUCUCUGGGCCAAUACUGACACUGAGGAGCGAAAGUCUGGGGAGCGAACAGGAUUAGAUACCCUGGUAGUCCAGACCGUAAACGGUGGGCACUAGUUGUGGGAACCUUCCACGGUUUCUGCGACGCAGCUAACGCAUUAAGUGCCCCGCCCGGGGAGUACGAUCGCAAGAUUAAAACUCAAAGGAAUUGACGG